AUGGGGUUCACGGCGCGACCCGCGGUGUGCAUCGUCGGCGUCCUCCUCCUCGCCGCCGCCCUCCUGGCGGCGGCGGAGGGCGAGUGGGACGCGCCGGAGUCGUGCGCGACCCCGGUGAGCGUGGAGGCGGCGUGCCGGGGGGCCUCGGACACGCACCACGGCGUGGACUACGACCACUGCGUGCGGUCCCUGAACGCGGACGCGCGCAGCGCCGACGCCUCCGCGUCCGCCGGGAUCCACGGCCUGGCGGUGCUGGCCACGAGGAUCGCCGUGGACCACGCCGCCAGCACGGAGGCCAAGAUCGAGGACCUGGCGGAGCUCGAGGCCGAGGCCGGCGCCGACCGCGCCCGGUUCGACCACUGCCUGGAGCAGUACGGCGGCGCCGCCGACCUGCUCCGCGACGCGCUGGACAACCUGCAGGCCAACGUGUACGGCCUGGCCAUGCAGCAGCUCAUGGCGGCGCUGGGCGCGUCCCGGAGCUGCGAGGACGCCUGGAGGGGCGCCCCCGCGCGCGCCGUCCCCGUCGCCGCCCACGACCGCGAGUACGAGCGCCUCGCCCACAUCGCCAUCGGCUUCACCCACGCCGCCGCCAAAUGA
rnacentral:rRNA from 1 species